rnacentral:tRNA from 1 species
GGGCCUAUAGCUCAGCGGCCAGAGCCACCGGCUCAUAACCGGUCGGUCCCAGGUUCGAAUCCUGGUAGGCCCA